rnacentral:rRNA from 1 species
UACGUAGGGGGCUAGCGUUGUCCGGAAUCAUUGGGCGUAAAGCGCGCGUAGGCGGCCCGGUAAGUCCGCUGUAAAAGUCAAAGGCUCAACCUUUGAAUGUCAGUGGAUACUGCCGGGCUAGAGUCCGGAAGAGGCGAGUGGAACUCCUGGUGUAGCGGUGGAAUGCGCAGAUAUCAGGAGGAACACCGGGUGGCGAAGGCGGGUCUCUGGGCCGAUACUGACGUGAGGAGCGAAAGCAUGGGUAGCGAACAGG